rnacentral:lncRNA from 1 species
CUGAACUAGAAAACUGAUGAAUUGUAAAGUAGACACUGUGACUGCUGGCUUCCAAAUUCUACUGCUUCUGUCACAAUAUGGGGCCCCAAAAUGGAUGCCCUGCACCCUGUCUCUCGCUCCAUGCAACUUCGAUCUGAAUGAAAGUCUUAUACUCUACACAGGGACCCCUGACAGUCUUCCAGGUGCCAUCAGCGUUUCAAAAUGGCUCAAGCAGUUCUAGAUCUUGCAUCUUCACAUCUCACUGGCAAGGAAAAGAAAAAGAUUUCUUCAGGUAGCCUCCAUGGAAGAGAGAAGCCUUUUAUUUCUAGAAGCCAAAACACACAUUUCCUCUGUUUCACUGGCUCUGUUUAGGUUCUGUGUCCUGUCUUCAACCAAUUAUUUGGCUGGAGAGAUCACAAGUGGACUUAAACUAAUCAAUUCCCACUUUAAAAUUUGGGGAUGAGGUCAAUCUUAUUUAUAUCAUGAAAGGUGAUUAAAAAUGGUUCCUCCAAAGCAAAAUUUGAGUUCUGUUAUCAGGCUAUGGGAGGAUGCUGGAAAUAAUAAAACAACA